CUUGGGUGUUCUGGAGCCAUGGGCAGCUGUGGGGUCUUUAGCUAUUCGUUCCUCCACAGAGCUGAGAAGUUCACAGGAAGACACAGCCUGUAGGUUUGUUUGGUCAUCCAUUUGUUUCCAUGGUGGCUGCUGACAUCUGUCCCUUAGCAUAUGCCAGACUGUCGGGCUGAUCCCCUGGCCUCUUACAAUGAACUGUCCAGUGGGAAAUACUAAUAGUUACGACUGUGGAAGCAUAAUGGAAGGUGCUGUGGGAACACAGAUUCUACUCGCUCCUACUCCCUGUCAAGCGUUAACUCUUAGCCACGUUCUUCCGCACUCAACAGACAGCACACAGCACUGGAAUCAUUACUACACGCUGCAGGAAGGACCCUUUACCAGCCCACAGCACUGUAAUCCCAUGAACUUGUUCAGCGUGGCCGACCCCAGCUAGGGAUGCGCAGUAAAGGCAGAAGACCUACUCCCUAGCUCGGCUCACUAAACUGUUUACAGCAGUUUGACCAUCAGUUAUUCAGGAAAGCACCGAAGGGUGGUGAUGCAACGCUGUGAAAAACUUGACAGAAGUAAAGAUAGUUAGGCAGCAGGGACCAUUGUCAUUUGAGUGAGCCUGCUGAUGGCUGCUAGGAAUUUAUAUACAAAUACUUUUCCCUAAAAGUUGAAAAUAAAAAAGGGAAAUGUGUUGAAAUGCAUUUGUUACAUCUAGAGAGCCCAAACACGCG
rnacentral:lncRNA from 1 species